rnacentral:tRNA from 1 species
GUGGUUAUGGCUCAGAGAUAGAGCGCUCGCCUACCACGUGUGAAGCCCUGGGUUCGAUCCUCAGCACCACA